UUCGGGAACGCAGUGACAGUUGGUGCAUGGCUGUCGUCAGCUCGUGUCGUGAGAUGUUGGGUUAAGUCCCGCAACGAGCGCAACCCACGUCUUUAGUUGCCAGCAUUUAGUUGGGCACUCUAGAGAGACCGCCGGUGAUAAACCGGAGGAAGGUGUGGAUGACGUCAAGUCAUCAUGCCCCUUACAUCCUGGGCUACACACGUACUACAAUGCUACGGACAAAGAGCAGCAAGUUCGCGAGGACAAGCAAAUCUCAUAAACCGUGGCUCAGUUCAGAUCGUAGGCUGCAACUCGCCUACGUGAAGGAGGAAUCGCUAGUAAUCGCAGGUCAGCAUACUGCGGUGAAUACGUUCCCGGGCCUUGUACACACCGCCCGUCGCACCAUGGAAGUUGGCCACGCCCGAAGCCGUUACUCCAACCCUCGGGAGGAGGACGUCGAAGGUGGGGCUGAUGACUGGGGUGAAGUCGUAACAAGGUAACCAAG
rnacentral:rRNA from 1 species